rnacentral:rRNA from 1 species
CCAGCUCCAAUAGCGUAUAUUAAAGUUGUUGCAGUUAAAAAGCUCGUAGUUGGAUUUCAGGGCCUGGAGAGCGGUCCGCCGCAAGGCGAGCACCGCAACCUCUGGGACCACCUUCCUGAGGACCCGUGUGCCCUUAACUGGGUGUGCGUGGGAGUCAGGGACUUUACUUUGAAAAAAUUAGAGUGUUCAAAGCAGGCGUUUGCUUGAAUACAUUAGCAUGGAAUAAUAGAAUAGGACUUUGGUUCUAUUUUGUUGGUUUCUAGGACCGAGGUAAUGAUUAAUAGGGACAGUUGGGGGCAUUAGUAUUUAAUUGUCAGAGGUGAAAUUCUUGGAUUUAUGAAAGACUAACUUCUGCGAAAGCAUUUGCCAAGGAUGUUUUCA